rnacentral:rRNA from 1 species
UGCAGUCGACGAUGAACCUCACUUGUGGGGGGAUUAGUGGCGAACGGGUGAGUAACACGUGAGUAACCUGCCCUUGACUCUGGGAUAAGCCUGGGAAACCGGGUCUAAUACUGGAUACGACCUUCUGGCGCAUGCCAUGUUGGUGGAAAGCUUUUGUGGUUUUGGAUGGACUCGCGGCCUAUCAGCUUGUUGGUGGGGUAAUGGCCUACCAAGGCGACGACGGGUAGCCGGCCUGAGAGGGUGACCGGCCACACUGGGACUGAGACACGGCCCAGACUCCUACGGGAGGCAGCAGUGGGGAAUAUUGCACAAUGGGCGCAAGCCUGAUGCAGCGACGCCGCGUGAGGGAUGAAGGCCUUCGGGUUGUAAACCUCUUUCAGUAGGGAAGAAGCUGGCCUUUUGGGUUGGUGACGGUACCUGCAGAAGAAGCGCCGGCUAACUACGUGCCAGCAGCCGCGGUAAUACGUAGGGCGCAAGCGUUAUCCGGAAUUAUUGGGCGUAAAGAGCUCGUAGGCGGUUUGUCGCGUCUGCCGUGAAAGUCCGGGGCUUAACCCCGGAUCUGCGGUGGGUACG